CUCUCCUAAAAUCUGCCCUAUAUCCAAACCCUUAUUACAAGGAAUAAAGCAGUGAAUAAAUCCCUAAAUUAAAUCCCUGCAUUCAAGGGAUUUGUAGUUAUAGAUUUCCCGCAAUUGCCUUCAAGUUUGUGAAUAAAUAUUCUCCAUUCCUAGCUUGAAUACAAUAGUUUGGAAAAUUGAGCUACUAAAGCCAUUGGUAAGCUUUAUAUAUCAAUUCACUCUCCAACUUCUCUUCGAUAAAGUGUUUGUUAAUUUAAAUGUGCUUUGUUUGGUCAUGUUCUAUUGGGUUGUGAGCUGUUCUAAUUGCAGGUUUGCUGUCCCAAUAAUUUCAUAGGACCAUCCCACUUAAUUUUCAAAUAUUUUAAGAAUGAUCUUCAACCAAAGUAGUUCGCACAUACCUUGAGCCAUUGCUUAAAAUUCAGCCUUUUUACUUUACUGAGCUACUACACUUUAUUUUUUCAUGUCACUAGACUCCCAUCAAAGAAGGUGCAAAAUCUUGCGAUUGAUCUUCUAUCAACAAUUGAUCUAGCAUAAUCAACAUCAAUGUAUUUGUUACAAGUUGGUUAAUUAUGCAGCAGCUCGAACACAUGAUGAAUCGCGAAGUGACAAGCUGUGAGAUGAACUGUGAAAUGACACCGCGAAGUGGCAAAGUGCGAGAUGCAGCUGAAGCCUUGGUG
rnacentral:lncRNA from 1 species